AUUUGCGAAGGGCAAUAGUGGACGGUAAUCUAUAUGUUAUGACAGAAGAUAGUAGUCAGGUGGUUGUGGUCUAUGUGGAUGACAUCAUCUUUGGAGGGCAUUGUGAUGAGUUGGGUAAACAGUUUGCAGAAAGAAUUAAAAGAAAAUUUGAAAUGUCA